CUGAUGAGUAUGGUUUUUUUGGUGUGUGGAACGUUUAGGUUCGGGGGUAUUUAUAAAGGGUUGGGGUUAGGGAAUUUAUUAGAGUUAAGUGGGGUGAUUUAGGGUUUAAAUGGUUAGGUGGAAUGAUUUCGGGUUUAAAAUAAAUGAUUUAAUUUUUUGAGGGGAUUUUUUUAAAAAUUUUCGAAAUUUGGGUUGUGUGGGGAUGUUUUUUUGCCCGAUGAAUGUAUAUUUUAGAUUUGGGGAUAUUUAUAGGGGUUUGGGGUUUAGAAAUUUAUUAGGGUUCGGUGGGGUGGUUUGGCGUUUGAAAUUUAAAUGGUCGGUGGUAUAUGCUAUGUUAAAAAUCAUAUGAAAAUUUUGACUGAUGAGAAGUCCAAUCCGUGUCAAGUGUGCAGGCCUUGAGGGAGGUCCAAGUUGGUAUCAACUUUUUGGGAUUUUUUUUGAAAUUCUCAGAAUUAUGGGUGUGUGGGACUGAUAUUUUUUGCUCAUAAGUGUAUGAUUUUUUUUUUGUGUGUGGGGAAUGUUUGGAUUUGGAGGUAUUUAUAGGAGGUUUGGGGUUUAAAGAAUUUAUUAGGGUUAGUAAGAUGGUUUUGGGUUUUAAUGAUUAGGUAAGAUGGCUCGGGGUUUAAAUGAUUAGAAAGUUUUUUAAAUGGUCAGUGGUAUAUACUACACUAAAAACCAAAUGAAAAUUUUGACCUAUGGUGUCGACCUGCGCCUCUUCCUAGGCCUGCACACUUGACAUGGAUUGGGCUCCUCAUCAAUCAAAAAUUUCAUAGUAUUCAAGACUCAAAUCGGCACCUCCAUUCUGAUUUAAGCCUCCAUAAAAUCAAUCUUUUUUACUAUAGUAAACGUACCAUUAAGAUAAAUAAUUUUGAAAUCUAUAUUAUUUUAGUAAUAACUUAUUUUGUUAAUAUAAUUUUAGUAAUUUUCCCGAGCAUAUUACAGUCUUUCGCAUGGGAUAUUGGUGCUCAUGUAAUUUCGGAAAUGAAAAACUUUACAAAAUUUUUAAAAAAAUUUACUAAGGACAAAUAAUUUUAUUUCUAUUAAUAAACAGAAAAUUAAAUUACAUAAUAUAUUAUAAAAUUAAAAUAUCAUAAGGACAAAUUUUGUUGUUGAAAGUAAUGUCAU
rnacentral:lncRNA from 1 species